ACGGUUAUAAAUCAACAUAUUGAUUUAUAAGCAUGGAAAUCCCCUGAGUGAAACAACGAAUUGCUGUGUGUAGUCUUUGCCCAUCUCCCACGAUGGGCUUUUUUUAAA
rnacentral:other from 1 species